GAUUUCAACUGAAAAAGUCAUCAACAUCAAAGUUGUAUAACUCAUCAAGAUCCAUAACUUUUAUUUGGGUCAUUUCUUCAUCCGACAUAGCGAUUUGUAGCAUUGUUCACAAAAUGUACAUAUCUCUUAUAUGGUUUUAUAACCUAUAAGAGAGAUAUGUAAAUUUUGUGAACAUUGUUACUAUCACUUUGUCAAAUGAAGAAAUGACCAAAAUAAAAGUUAUAGAUACUGAUGAGUUAUACAACUUUAUUGUUGAUGACUUUUUCAAUUGAAAUC
rnacentral:pre_miRNA from 1 species